UCACACUACAAAUACUAACAUCUCUAACAACAAAAAAAAAGUAAACAAGGCAAAAUAAACAAACCGGGACAAAUAGGACGGAAAAGUGGCAUUGGAUGUGGCUGCCACAGCGCACCCACCCUUCCUGUGGUGCCCCUAGCGUAGCGAGGGAGGUACCACCCAUGUUCCGAGGCCGGAGCCACUGCCAGGCCAGACUACGACCGGUUCAUCUCCCCGCUGGAAAUUGCCUUAGGCCCACAUCAUCUUCAUCUCCAUUCUAAGUCAGGGCAAAACCACUACCCGGCCUGGACUGCACCAGCUGCAAGGCCUUCUUAAAAUCGGAAAUUUGGCCCCGCAGAAAAGUUUAAGCCAAGUGGCUGUCCUGCUGGAGCUCCAAGAGGACACAAAAGGGACAGACCCCGAGUUAGCGCAAGGCCAGACUCAAGCUCGCGGAAUCACGAAGACGUGCAGAAACGGACGAGGCGAGUACGCAAAUUUACAAAUACAAAAAUUAAUCUUAAAAUCUAAUCACCGGCGCGGCGAGUAAGCUGGCUGCGGGUCGCCGAAGGACAACUUGGGACCGGUAUCACGCCCUGCCUCGGC